GCUGCUGCUGCUGCUGCAGUUGUUGCUGCUGCUGCAGUUGUUGCUGCUGCAGUUGUUGUUGUUGCUGCUGCAGUUGUUGUUGUUGCUGCUGCAGUUGUUGCUGCUGCUGCAGUUGUUGCUGCUGCUGCUGCUGCAGUUGUUGCUGCUGCUGCUGCUGCAGUUGUUGCUGCUGCUGCUGCUGCAGUUGUUGCUGCUGCUGAAUCAU